UGAUGGUGUUGUUGGAGGAUGUGGUGAUGGUGGUGUUGUUGGAGGAUGUGGUGAUGGUGGUGUUGUUGGAGGAUGUGGUGAUGGUGUUGUUGGAGGAUGUGGUGAUGGUGUUGUUGUUGGAGGAUGUGGUGAUGGUGUUGUUGUUGGAGGAUGUGGUCUGAUGGUGGUGUUGUUGGAGGAUGUGGUCUGAUGGUGGUGUUGUUGGAGGAUGUGGUCUGAUGGUGGUGUUGUUGGAGGAUGUGGUCUGAUGGUGGUUGUUGGAGGAUGUGGUCUGAUGGUGGUGUUGUUGGAGGAUGUGGUCUGAUGGUGGUGUUGUUGGAGGAUGUGGUCUGAUGGUGGUGUUGUUGGAGGAUGUGGUCUGAUGGUGGUGUUGGAGGAUGUGGUCUGAUGGUGGUGUUGGAGGAUGUGGUCUGAUGGUGGUGUUGUUGGAGGAUGUGGUCUGAUGGUGGUGUUGUUGGAGGAUGUGGGUGGUGUUGGAGGAUGUGGUCUGGUGUUGGAGGAUGUGGUCUGAUGGUGUUGGUGGUGUUGUUGGAGGAUGUGGUCUGAUUGUGUUGGAGGAUGUGGUCUGAUGGUGUUGAAGGAUGUGGUCUGAUGGUGUUGGUGGUGUUGUUGGAGGAUGUGGUGAUGGUGGUGUUGUUGGAGGAUGUGGUCUGAUGGUGUUGGUGGUGUUUUUGGAUGAUGUGGUCUGAUGGUGUUGGUGGUGUUGUUGGAGGAUGUGGUGUUGUUGGAGGAUGUGGUGAUGGUGGUUUUGUUGGAGGAUGUGGUCUGAUGGUGUUGGUGGUGUUGGAGGGAUGGUGUUGGUGGUGUUGGAGGAUGUGGUCUGAUGGUGUUGGUGUUGGAGGAUGUGGUGAUGGUGUUGGUGUUGUUGGAGGAUGUGGUGGUGUUGGUGGUGGUGUUGGAGGAUGUGGUGGUGUUGGUGGUGGUGUUGGAGGAUGUGGUCUGAUGGUGUUGGAGGAGGAUGUGGUCUGAUGGUGUUGGUGUUGUUGGAGGAUGUGGUCUGAUGGUGUUGGUGUUGUUGGAGGAUGUGGUCUGAUGGUGGUGGUGGUGUUGUUGGAGGAUGUGGUCUGAUGGUGUUGGUGGUGGUGUUGGAGGAUGUGGUCUGAUGGUGUUGGUGGUGUUGGAGGAUGUGGUCUGAUGGUGUUGGUGGUGUUGGAGGAUGUGGUCUGAUGGUGUUGGUGGUGUUGUUGGAGGAUGUGGUGUUGGUGGUGGUGUUGGAGGAUGUGGAUGUGGUGUUGGUGUUGGAGAUGGGGUCUGAUGGUGUUGGUGGUGUUGGAGGAUGUGGUCUGAUGGUGUUGCUGGUGUUGUCAUGUUUGUGUUCCAGAGAGGUUCUUUCUGCCGGUGUCGUUACCCCAGCCGCCUCUUCAACCCUCCUCCGUCCCCCCCAGUUCCACCCCCCAGAGUAGCUCCCGGGAGGGGGGCAGGGACCGAGACAUACUCUACCGCGAGGAGAGGGAGAGAGAGGAGCCUCAGGAGGGGGGCAGAGCCCGAGACAGACUCUACCGUGUGGCGAGGGAGAGAGAGGAGCCCCAGGAGGGGGGCAGGGACCGAGACAGACUCUGCUGUGAGGAGAGAGAGGAGCCUCAGGAGGGGGGCAGGGACCGAGACAGACUCUACCACGAGGAGAGAGAGGAGCCCCGGGAGGGGGGCAGAGACAGACUCUACCGCGAGGAGAGAGGGCGAGGCGAGAGGGAGCGGUCGAGAGAGGAGCCUCGUCCAUACAGUGUGGUAGAUCUGACACAGGAUGGGAGGAGUGGAGAGAGAGAACGCCACAGAGAACGAGAGACUGAGCGAGACAGAGACCGAGAGAGAGAGGUUCUCCUCCACCACCCCUCUGCUUCUCGACCCCCCAGGGCUCCUCCUCUUCUGGGCGUUACCCAGAGACUGAUGACACACCCACUCGCUCCCCCAACCCUAACCCCAGCCCCCACACACACACAGACAGGCUGAGGAAGACUGAAUCUACCUACAGCGGUGCACUCCUUCCUGGCCCCGCCUACCCUGCACACCGGGAGCCUAUCAGGGAACAGCGUGUGAGCGCGCCCACUUACGUGCCUUCUGUGGAGGUCUAUGAUGAGCAGGUCGGCCCGAUCCAGAUCGCAUCGCAGGCCAGGGACAAACAGGACAAACUGAAAGAGAGAGAGAAAGAGAGAGAGA
ensembl:lncRNA